rnacentral:lncRNA from 1 species
GACCUCAUUUACAACAUGUGUCUAUAAAUCAGCAGCUCAAACUGAUUGGUAGGUGUUUCAUGAUGCAUUCAGCACCAUUAUGCUUUUCAAGGUAGUCGGUUUUCAGUGGUAGAGGAAGUGGGAGUGCCUGAAAAUUACCACUGACCUUCGUACUAAAACCGACAAUCCUGGCGCAUCAACAAUGUGCAGAAUUUAAAAUCACACCUCAGUGUUGAUAGGCUAGUGAUACAGUAG